rnacentral:misc_RNA from 1 species
CUGAUUUCUCUGCCUGUUUCUCCCCUCCCUGCGUUCAAGCCGUUGUUGCCGCUGAUACACUUCGUACUGUCUCCGUCCCCAUUCACCAGUGACCUGACUGCACCACUGACACUCGUCCACCUACCCACAAACACACAUACGCAUAUAUACAUAUUUAUCUUCUUAUAUCUCCCCCCUCCUUUGCUCCCUUCUCUAUUUCGACCACCGCGCACUGGCUCUCACCCACCCGCACCUCCCCCUUAGCAGCAGCGGGGACAGCAGGCGGGCCUUCUCUCACGUGGGGUAGUCGUCGCUUGGCGAGGCGCUCUUACCUGUUUUGCCCCCUCGGUAAAGGGGCUCUGGCGUCAUUGAGUGCGUCUGUCGGUGUGCGGCACAAGCUGAGGCGACAGCAGCUACACGGUCAAGGAGAGAGACAGGGACGAGCAACCGCCGUGGCGCAACACCAUCCAUUCAUACAGAUCCGCUCAAGAGGUGGAAAACAACGACGAUCAAAGAUGUGGUCGAUGCUCUCGCAGGACUUUUCCGACUUCGCCGAGGCGUUCAAGUCCGAGUCGGUGGGGUUUAUGGGCUAUCUCGAGCACAUCGCCGCCAACGUCGUGGGCCGCGGCGACGUAUACGCCGGCGACGAGGCUCUCGGAAAGGCGGUCGCGGAAAUGCCACUGUCCAAUGCCCUGCUGCGGCGCUUACAGGACACGGAGGCGACAUACACGCUGCCCAUUCAGCCAGAGGAGAAGGCGGCGUUCGCAGCGUGGAUAAAGGGAAGUCCUCUCAGCAGCGCGAACGCGCUCCGCCGCCAGCAGUACAUGGCGGCAGGCGGCACCACCACCAAGUCGGAGGGUGGCUCUCCUGCUGGGACGCCGGGGCGCCUUCCGCCGCCUGGCAUGACGCCCAACCGCCGCACCGUCGAGUACCCCGAUGAGCCGAUGGAAGAGACCCGCCAGCGGCUGCUGGACUACAACGAGGUGGUGCUGAAGUGCUACAUGUCGCUCGUGGGCGACGCGGUGAGCCCGCGCUCCAGCGUCUCGGCAUCACCGGAUGCGAGGCGGUGGCAGACGGACCCGUCCUUUGCUGCGAGGCGUGGAGAGGGUGAGAGCAGGAGCCCCGUGCCGGUUGCCGCAACUGGCGAGCGGUCACAGGUUUCCUCCCCUUCCUCGGCGAUGACACCAGCGCGCGGCCGCAUCAGCGAGGACGAGUUUUUUGACCGCUACUUUUUCCGCUUGACGCAGCUCCGUGUGUCGGAGUCGCAGCGCCGCGGCGCUGCCCCUCACCAAAAGGCCUCCGCGAGCACCUCGGCGGCGGCAUCGCCGGCGUCUCCAUCGGCCCCUCCAACGCCGUCGUCGUCGCCGCAGGUGAACGAUAGGAGUCGACAGAGCACCGACGAAGACGACUUUGCCGUCGUGCCGCUGUUUGCGAAGCGCGUGAUGACGGCAGCCACUGGCUUCGUGAUGGGUAUCGACAACGCGCUGAACAGCGUCGUGACGGGCGAGGCAUCGCGCUGCAGCGGCGCCGAUGGCGAGGGGAUGGAUGAGUUCAGCGAGGAUGGUGCCAACGUGGACCCAAAGGACCUCGUGCACUACAGCAGCACGAGGCAGCAGAUCGCGGGCCUCGAGUCGACGGUGCAAGAGCUGCAGGAGGCUCUUCGUCAGGAGCGGCGGCGCGUUGUUCAGCUCGCCAGCGCGUUGGAGGCUCAAGGGAUCGAGGUGCCAGCAGAGCUCUUGACACCGGCGCGGUCCUCGGCUCCGAUAACUCCUGCGGAAAAGACGGAGGUGACCUUGGCGACAGCGCUGAUGGCUGCCCGCGACACCGAUCCAGCCCCUGCCACUCCCACUGGGACUGCCGCUGCCGCGUCUUCUGCCGGAAGUGGAGCGUCAGCUAUGCCGUUAGCCCCCACCGCAGCGGCCCCACCCCUGGACAACCAGAAAGAUAGCGAGGCCACCUCUUCCACGCAUAGCACCAGCGGCGACAUGAUCUCGGCGGCAACGGAGGAGGAUACGUGGGUGUGCAUGAGCACAGGCGCCGAGUAAAGGGGCCAGGAAGCGAAAUGCGCCUGAUGGGCGCAUGUGUGUGUAUGUGACGAAAGGGAGGUGCGUACGGGCACACGCGUGUGUGUGUGUGUGUGUCUGCGUGCGUAAUGACUCGUCGCCUCUUCGUUGCAAUCGUGUUGGCUGAGCAUCAGAGGCGGCAUCGCUUUCGCUCGUAUCCUUUCGUCGUGUCUCCCUUCCCCACUCUGCAUGACUUCAGUGCUCCGUGGCGCUGGCUGCUUUGGGUGCCGCUCUUCUUUCGUGCGUGAGGGGGAAGGGGGCGAGGGGGGUGUUGCACGCAGCCCAUUAAGCGAGUCGGCACAUUCGUCUCAGUCGGCCCGACCCCUUUGGGGAGGGGGGGGUGCGGCCGAGCCGCUUACACCGAGGGCCAUACCGGGAUGGCACAGAGCGCACCUUUUUCAUACAAGGGCGUGUCGGCGCGCGCGCACCGCCUGCGCUUGUGCAUGCACGGACGAGAGUGCGGAGCCACCCGCCCUUCCGCCCCAGCUUCCCGUCUCACCGUGUGGAGACAUGAAGAGUGGGCGGGGUCGGAUGGGCGGGGCUUACUCGGAAGCCGCCGGGCAGCGGAAAUGGCGGGGGAGAAAAGGGGGAGGAGGGCGGCCGUGAGGUCGCCGGGAAACCCGUCGUAAAGCAACUGCAAACGAGGAGGGGUCGUGGCAGGCAGAAUAGCGAUCGCGCUGGCGCCUGAGAAGCGAGAGAGCAAACCCUCCCUUCCCCCCGAUCGUGCCGCCGACCCUGCCGCACUGCCAUCGCCCCGGGGAAGGAGCGUGCACGGACGAGCUGGGCGUGCAAAGAUGGCAACGAGGAGAAAAGAAAACAUUUUUCGCUCUGUUGGGGGGCUCGACGAGCUCACUCUUGCAGGCGUGAAAAGGGGUUUAGAGGAAGGGAGAGAGAGCGAUGGACAGUCGUCAGCAAUGACUGUGCAAGGCACGCCUUCACCAUCUUACAUGUAUAUGAGUUUGUGGUGCCUGUGUAUACGGAGGGUAGGCGGCGUCGCUCCUUCGGCUGUGUGCUGCGCCGCUUCCUCCCUUCCGCAUCUUCACCUUCUCCUUCCCCUCUGGUUUCAUGCUCCUUAAUACGCGCCACCACUGGUCGGCCCUGAAGAUUUGUGGGAUAUGUGCGCGCCGACGGGGCGAGUGGGGGUGGGGUGAGGCGUUGGGUUGGUCGGCCGGUGGGAAUCAACUGUGCAGGUCCGAGUAAUGUUUGGUCGUGCAUUGCGGUGCUGUGCUUGUCUCUCACGUGUAAAGUGAUACGCGUAUUUCGUUCAUUGCUUACUUUUUGUCGUCCUCGUCGUCGUCGUUGCCCCGCCUCCUCUGCGGUGUUCCUGGUUGCUGUCCGUGUAUUGGAUGUAUGCGUGCUGGUGUGAACGCCCUUGUUUUUUUCUAUUACUGCAUGUCGCUCUAUCGCCUGUGAGUCCUUUCUUUCUAUUUCGGCUCCUCGUCUCCCCAAGGCUGUCCCUCACAUCACUCCCUUCGCCUUCUCGGCGUGCCCCAACCGUGGUGCUCGUCGUGUUGCUUGCUGCGUGCUGCUGUCGUUGAUAUGUAUGUUCACUGUGCGGAGAAGGUGUAGUACGACCCUGCGCGAACGGAGAAGAGCGGGUGGCGGGGUAGGGGGAGCGUAGGAUCAGAGAGACCGACAGAGAGGGGGCGGGAAGGCAGUAGGUUGCUUACAUGCGCAGCACGCCACCAUUUUGGUUGAACAGAGAGACAGGAGGGGAAAAAAGGGCCCGCACGGGGCGUGCACGCAUCUUUACUGGUUGCUGCGCAAGCCGUGCCGGUGCUGGUGGAGUGUCGAGCUACUCUCCUCACACUGAUAAGGGGACCAGCGCAGCCUGCGAGCGCAGUUACCGCGACUUCGUCACAGCGCCCUGAGGGCGUGCCGAGUCGCGCGGCCACCCUCCCUCUCCCUCCGGUCGCCACUUCUCUGCGUGCCAUUACUCCACAGCGCUAAGAAAGCACUGCUUCAUUGCAGUACCGCUCUCUCUCUCUACACGCCUUACUAUGCCCUUCCCUACUCCCCGCACAUCUUUCCUUCUCCUGCCGUAAACCACCACCGUUCCUAUCACCGCUACCAACACGAUCAUCAUCAG